ensembl:snRNA U6 U6 spliceosomal RNA
GUGCUUGCUUUGGCAGCACAUACACUAAAAUUGGACCCAUACAGAGAAGAUUAGUGUGGCCCCUGCUCAUGGAUCUGGAUCUGUUUCUGGGAUAGUGAAAUGCACUAU